AUGCAAGUCGAACGAUGACUCUCUAGCUUGCUAGAGAAGAUUAGUGGCGGACGGGUGAGUAACAUUUAGGAAUCUGCCUAGUAGUGGGGGAUAGCUCGGGGAAACUCGAAUUAAUACCGCAUACGACCUACGGGUGAAAGGGGGCGCAAGCUCUUGCUAUUAGAUGAGCCUAAAUCAGAUUAGCUAGUUGGUGGGGUAAAGGCCCACCAAGGCGACGAUCUGUAACUGGUCUGAGAGGAUGAUCAGUCACACCGGAACUGAGACACGGUCCGGACUCCUACGGGAGGCAGCAGUGGGGAAUAUUGGACAAUGGGGGCAACCCCGAUCCAGCCAUGCCGCGUGUGUGAAGAAGGCCUUUUGGUUGUAAAGCACUUUAAGCAGGGAGGAGAGGCUAAUGGUUAAUACCCAUUAGAUUAGACGUUACCUGCAGAAUAAGCACCGGCUAACUCUGUGCCAGCAGCCGCGGUAAUACAGAGGGUGCGAGCGUUAAUCGGAAUUACUGGGCGUAAAGCGAGUGUAGGUGGCUCAUUAAGUCACAUGUGAAAUCCCCGGGCUUAACCUGGGAACUGCAUGUGAUACUGGUGGUGCUAGAAUAUGUGAGAGGGAAGUAGAAUUCCAGGUGUAGCGGUGAAAUGCGUAGAGAUCUGGAGGAAUACCGAUGGCGAAGGCAGCUUCCUGGCAUAAUAUUGACACUGAGAUUCGAAAGCGUGGGUAGCAAACAGGAUUAGAUACCCUGGUAGUCCACGCCGUAAACGAUGUCUACUAGCCGUUGGGGUCCUUGAGACUUUAGUGGCGCAGUUAACGCGAUAAGUAGACCGCCUGGGGAGUACGGCCGCAAGGUUAAAACUCAAAUGAAUUGACGGGGGCCCGCACAAGCGGUGGAGCAUGUGGUU
rnacentral:rRNA from 1 species